rnacentral:rRNA from 1 species
AUUGAACGCUGGCGGCAUGCUUUACACAUGCAAGUCGAACGGUAACAGGCCUUCGGGUGCUGACGAGUGGCGAACGGGUGAGUAAUGCAUCGGAACGUGCCCAAUCGUGGGGGAUAACGUAGCGAAAGUUACGCUAAUACCGCAUAAGCCCUGAGGGGGAAAGUGGGGGACCGCAAGGCCUCACGCGAAUGGAGCGGCCGAUGUCAGAUUAGCUAGUUGGUGGGGUAAAGGCCCACCAAGGCGACGAUCUGUAGCGGGUCUGAGAGGAUGAUCCGCCACACUGGGACUGAGACACGGCCCAGACUCCUACGGGAGGCAGCAGUGGGGAAUUUUGGACAAUGGCGCAAGCCUGAUCCAGCGAAUGCCGCGUGCAGGAUGAAGGCCUCGGUGUAAC